rnacentral:lncRNA from 1 species
UCAUGGUUAAUAAGAACUGUGGGUGUAAUGAUAGAAGUGCAUAGGAAGAGAAUGGUUAUUGUGACAAGAAACCCAACAAUUCUUAUGCAAAGCUGAAUCAACUACUGGAUUCAAGUAUUAGAGUUGACGUUGUUGCAGCUGGUUGAUAAAGUAUUAUGGCUCUCAAAAGGGAUGGUUCAGCUAAAUUUUAGUAUAUCUAAAUCUAUCAAAACAAUCACUAAUUCAUUGUUUUUCAGUUACUUGCUUAGGAUAUAUAUGGAUG